UCACUAACAGGGCUUUUUUNNUUGCCCCGCCCCNUUACGGUGAAUCUUCGGCAAUGGGGGCAACCCUGACCGAGCAACGCCGCGUGAGUGAAGAAGGUUUUCGGAUCGUAAAGCUCUGUUGUAAGAGAAGAACGUGUGUGAGAGUGGAAAGUUCACACAGUGACGGUAACUUACCAGAAAGGGACGGCUAACUACGUGCCAGCAGCCGCGGUAAUAAAUU
rnacentral:rRNA from 1 species